rnacentral:misc_RNA from 1 species
AAGUCGUAACAAGGUCUCCGUUGGUGAACCAGCGGAGGGAUCAUUAGCGAGUUAAUUACAAACUCCAAACCCGUGUGAACUUACCUAUUGUUGCCUCGGCAGGCCGUGUUAUACGGUACUGGAAGCUACCCUGUAGCUGACCUACCCUAAAUAGGAGCUACCCUGGAGUGUAAGAACUUUGGAGAGAGGCCACCUUUAGAGUACGGACAGCUUUCGAGCAGACCAGCGACCUACCCUAUAGCACACAACCAGGCCUGCCGAAGGACCCUUAAACUCUGUUUUGUAACUGUAUCUCUGAGUAAAUUAUACAAAUAAGUUAAAACUUUCAACAACGGAUCUCUUGGUUCUG